rnacentral:lncRNA from 1 species
CUGAAGCAGUCACUUAUCAGUGUCAUCUCACUGAAGUAUGCCAUUAAUUUCUUUAUUAAAAAUGCCAAUUGAUUGUAAUUUUCUCAUUGUGUCUGAACAACUGCAAAGCAUUUAUUAAUUCUUGGACUGACAUACACAGGCAGUUAGCAGGCAUGCAUACUCACCACAUUAAUCUUCCAGAUUGUGGCAGAGAGAGAGAGAAAUCUUUGUGCAGGGAUUGAUCUGAAGUAUCUGUUUAUUUUAGAUGGCACAUCAUGGAUUAUCUCUUUUUCCUUUCACAAGCUUCAUUCAUGGGAACACAAGUUAGGAGCCUGGUGGUGCUGCAGGGCUGGGUCACGGCAGCCUUUGCCUCCUGUUCAUAGUGGUGAUGUCGGAGAGAGACCCAGGGCUGAGAGGAGGCUACAUGGACCAGCUCUGAGGGGAGCAGUUCCAUCACUGAGACCCCAGGGAUGUUGCAGGUGGAGGGGACAGAGUGCAGAGCACCAGUCUGAUGUACGAUGUACAUGCUCGUGUGCAGCCUCAAGAAGCCCAAGCUCAGCUGAGCAAAUGACUUCACAGCACAGCUGUCAGCCAGGAACUAAAGAUUCAUGUUUGGGCCAGAAAAAAAAAAAAAAAAGUGUGAAUCAGAACUAUCUACAGUAAACAGAAAGCGGAACUGGAGCUUGCUGAUACUAUGGUCUGCCAGGAACAGGAGCUGUUAUUGCAAGUCUGAAGGAUUUUAUACCUCUCUGAUAGCUUGUAUACCAUCUGAAUCUUAUUAAACUGCUUGUGCCCGACCUGGAGCCUGGAGCCUUGCUGAGGAGCCUUAAUGCUAAUAACAAAAUAGACCUUAAUGAACCACAGCUUCAGAGAGAAAUAAUAACAAAUUUGAACGACUUCUUGGAAAGGAUUUUACUAUCAGCAGUGAUUAACAAAAUAAAUAAUGUGCCAGGAAACCA